rnacentral:rRNA from 1 species
CCUACGGGUGGCUGCAGUGGGGAAUAUUGGACAAUGGGCGAAAGCCUGAUCCAGCCAUGCCGCGUGUGUGAAGAAGGCCUUCGGGUUGUAAAGCACUUUCAGUGGGGAAGAAAGCCUUGGGGCUAAUACCCUCGAGGAAGGACAUCACCCACAGAAGAAGCACCGGCUAACUCCGUGCCAGCAGCCGCGGUAAUACGGAGGGUGCGAGCGGUAAUCGGAAUUACUGGGCGUAAAGCGCGCGUAGGCGGUCUGAUAAGCCGGUUGUGAAAGCCCCGGGCUCAACCUGGGAACGGCAUCCGGAACUGUCAGGCUAGAGUGCAGGAGAGGAAGGUAGAAUUCCCGGUGUAGCGGUGAAAUGCGUAGAGAUCGGGAGGAAUACCAGUGGCGAAGGCGGCCUUCUGGACUGACACUGACGCUGAGGUGCGAAAGCGUGGGUAGCAAACAGGAUUAGAUACCCUGGUAGUC